rnacentral:rRNA from 1 species
AGAGUUUGAUCCUGGCUCAGGAUGAACGCUGGCGGCGUGCUUAACACAUGCAAGUCGAACGAGGUCCAACCUUCGGGUGAAGACCGAGUGGCGAACGGGUGAGUAACACGUGGGGAACCUGCCCUUCUCUCUGGGAUAACCUCGGGAAACCGAAGCUAAUACCGGAUACUCCUUGCGGACCGCAUGGUCUGCUCGGGAAAGCUCCGGCGGAGAAGGAUGGCCCCGCGGCCCAUUAGCUUGUUGGUGGGGUAACGGCCCACCAAGGCGACGAUGGGUAGCCGAGCUGAGAGGCUGAUAGGCCACACUGGGACUGAGACACGGCCCAGACUCCUACGGGAGGCAGCAGUGGGGAAUCUUGCGCAAUGGGCGAAAGCCUGACGCAGCAACGCCGCGUGCGGGAUGAAGGCUCUCGGGUCGUAAACCGCUUUCAGCAGGGAUGAAAAUGACAGUACCUGCAGAAGAAGCCCCGGCUAAAUACGUGCCAGCAGCCGCGGUAAUACGUAUGGGGCAAGCGUUAUCCGGAUUCAUUGGGCGUAAAGCGCGCGUAGGCGGCUUGUUAAGUCAGGCGUGAAAUCCGGGGGCUCAACCCGCGGCUUGCGUCUGAAACUGGCAGGCUUGAGUCUGGUAGAGGAAAGUGGAAUUCCUGGUGUAGCGGUGAAAUGCGCAGAUAUCAGGAGGAACACCAGUGGCGAAGGCGGCUUUCUGGGCCACGACUGACGCUGAGGCGCGAAAGCUAGGGGAGCGAACAGGAUUAGAUACCCUGGUAGUC